UACGUAGGGGGCAAGCGUUAUCCGGAUUUACUGGGUGUAAAGGGAGUGUAGACGGAGCAGCAAGUCUGAUGUGAAAACCCGGGGCUCAACCCCGGGACUGCAUUGGAAACUGUUGAUCUGGAGUGCCGGAGAGGUAAGCGGAAUUCCUAGUGUAGCGGUGAAAUGCGUAGAUAUUAGGAGGAACACCAGUGGCGAAGGCGGCUUACUGGACGGUAACUGACGUUGAGGCUCGAAAGCGUGGGGAGCAAACAGG
rnacentral:rRNA from 1 species